rnacentral:rRNA from 1 species
AAAGGAAUAGACGGGGACCCGCACAAGCAGCGGAGCAUGUGGUUUAAUUCGAAGCAACGCGAAGAACCUUACCAGGGCUUGACAUCCCCCGGACAGGAUUAGAGAUAAUCCCUUCUCUUCGGAGACUGGGGAGACAGGUGGUGCAUGGUUGUCGUCAGCUCGUGUCGUGAGAUGUUGGGUUAAGUCCCGCAACGAGCGCAACCCCUGCCUUUAGUUGCUAGCAAGUAAAGUUGAGCACUCUAAAGGGACUGCCGAUGAUAAAUCGGAGGAAGGUGGGGAUGACGUCAAAUCAUCAUGCCCUAUAUGUCCUGGGCUACACACGUGCUACAAUGGUCGGUACAGAGGGUAGCUACUUAGCGAUAAGAUGCCAAUCCCUUAAAGCCGAUCUCAGUUCGGAUUGCAGGCUGCAAUUCGCCUGCAUGAAGCCGGAGUUGCUAGUAAUCGUGAAUCAGCAUGUCACGGUGAAUGCGUUCCCGGGUCUUGUACACACCGCCCGU